rnacentral:lncRNA from 1 species
CAUCCAUCCCUGGAGGUAACAAGAGGAAAGUCACCUUCCUUGGGACUGUAUAGAUGCCCAAACAGAAAUCUGAGGGUAUUGAGAAGGGGGAAGAGGGAUUGGCUGGUGCAGAGGGAAGCAUUUGACAAAGACAAGGGGAGAAGCCAUUGAAAGGAGAAUAUUGAGUAUCACUUUAGAAUAUAUUAAACAACCUAUCAAGAUUAAUGAGCUUAUUCAGAAAAGAAAAUAAGUCCUGAUCAAUUUCAGCGUGUUUGGACCAGCAGAUUCCAGGUGAUGGAUAGGCAGCUUCAUUUUAAUAGUCUGUUGGUACAGGGUGACCUGUAGCCUUUCCAGAAGAGGUAAAAUGAAUCCUCCGGUUGUCACCCCCUCCUUCCUCGCUCCAAUUCCAUCAUUAAUCCCCGUUUGAGGAUUUGAGUGCUGCCGAGGACUGACAGACUCCAUGAGGUUCAGCUGCUGCCUGGUACAUGUGGUCACCUGCAGCUUCUUCAGCCCUACAUAUAUUUUGUGCUGUUUUAGACUGCUCUUUCUUCCAUUAAAUGAGAGAUUAGAUCUGAAUGGCCACGUGAUCUUCUGAGUCCCAUCUGUAAGAAUCUGCAUUUCCACGGAAUUGGGGGAGCAAACGUUCUCAAAACAUUCUUAAAUGCAAACCCGCAGGCACAGCAUGUGUCUGUCAACUCCAAGAGCAUUUGGAUGUUCGAAGGGAGAGGAUGUUUGACAUCUAACCCGUCGUGGAAAGAGGAGCCUCUACAGUGACAUGAAGGCAAUGGAUUCUCAGCAUUACAAGGCAAGACAGAACUUGAAGGAAGAAGGCUGGGAGGAAACCAAUGUUGAAUGAACACUGACUCUGUGCUCAGCCCUGAGCAAGCAGUGGAAUGCCCCUGGGCUGUGAGCCACGAAUUCAAAUCCCAGCUUGUAGAGCUGUUCUGGGGGUUAGAAGUUUGGGGUCCCUCGUUGCUGCACUCGUUCCAGGUUUGGGGCUGGCGCUGCCCUUCUGACCCCUCCCUAAAGUGGACACAGGAGAAGGAGCGGGGAGAAGAGACAGGCGGCCAGGAGACACCCUGUUGAGGGCUCCCUCUGCUUGCAACAGGACCUGCUGAGGUUGCAGCUGAAGUGCUGGUCUUCCCAGAGAAAACAACCCCUCAUUCUCAAAGGAUGAGAGUGAGCCCUGCGGGGCUGCAUGCUCUUGGCCAUGGGAGAUCAACUGUGGUCACAUAGAGUGUAAUCAGUGUGUAUUUAUGGAUCACUCACUACAUGCAAGACCGGGACACAGCCGGGAUUUACUGUGGGGCUGAAAGCAAGUCACUUAAAAAGGUAAAAAUUCAUGUCCUUUUAAUCUACUUUUCAGCAAGGAACAUCACGUCUGAAUGCUCGCGGCCUCUGCCUGCCCCGUGGGAUGGUGCUGGAAAUUAUACUCAUAUUUAGAUAGCAUUCUCUGCAAGUGGCUGCUGUUGUCCUUCCAUCGUCAGCACAGGCAGAUGCUGGGAGUACCCACCUUGGGGUGAGGUGGCAAGAGAGGGCCAGCUUGUAUCCGCCUCGUUGUCGUCCUUCCUUCCUGACUUGACUCUCUCCUCUGUGGCCUUCUCAGGAGUGGGAUGUGGUUGUGAGGAGAAUGUGCACUUUACCCCUCACCAGUCCAGAGAGGGGCACAUAGCCCAAACCUCUCCCCUUCCCAGAAACCUGCAAGUCCCCCUGGGUGCGCCUGUGUGAUGAGGCAGGCUCCGAGAGCCACAGGCUGGUGGGCCACUAGGAAGCAGUAAAGGAAGACAUUUUAUGAUUGUAGCUGGAGAUAAUGAAUUGAAAAGCUGGUCUCUGUUUCUGGAAAUGAUGCCAGGAGGCCCUCAAAAUAAACGCCCACCUGUCCUUCAGGUCUCAACACCUGUUGCUCUUGGGACAGAGAUCCCAGGCCCAAAAUAGGCACAGCUGCUAUGGAUGCUCGUCUUGCCCUCCUGGAGCUGAGACUGGGCCAUGUUUGGAAAUAUGUCUCCCUCCAUCCCCUCCUCCCAUCCUCAUUUGGAGCCUUAGGGCUUUAAGACGUGAGCUCUUUCCUCGCUCCCUCUCCCCAGUCUUUCUUGGGUAUCUCUGCUCCUCCCAUCACCUGUUCCUGGGCAUGGCAUAGGCAGUUGGUAAAUGACAGAUGAAUGAAUACAUGUACAAGGAAACACAGAUCUGAAAUUUCUAGCAGCAAAGUUUGGAGCAGGAAGCUCUGGCUGGCCCUGGGCUUUUUGCUAAGGGUGUUCUGGCUUCGCGUGGCAGCACCCCUCCCCACCGGGCCUUUGCCAGGACGCUCGAUCCUCUCUUCGGGCUUCUGAGCAGUGUGAAUUGCAAACAGCCAUGCCCACUCCCCAGGCCAAGAAAACCAAGUUCAUGGCCAGGAUUGCUCACAAAAAAAAAAAAAAAAAAAGAACCACUUCUGCCUUAUCAUUCUCUCUUUAUUACCGAAAUGCGGAGACAGAAAGUCAACAGAGAAAGAAUUGUUUUCCCCAAGGCCACACAGAUUGCUCCAACACUUGACUUUUCCUGCUAGGAACUCAAUCCAAGAGAUGGGCUUUCUUUUGUUCUCUGACUAUAAAAGGGUGUCACCUUGUCACCAUCUUCUAUCACACAGGACCCCUAUGGGCUUGGUUUGGUUUUGUUCUUUCAUCAUUAUUAUUUGGAAAGUUAUAUUUCCUUUACUGUCCUUGAGGUGUGAGGCUUCACCUCAUCUUGUCUCCAUAUCCCUGAGUCACUAAGGAGUCCUAUGUCAAUGACACCUCUCCAUAUGCUUUACCUAAGCUGCCCCUUCUCUCAGCAAGUUCGCGCCAGGCUUCCCCAUGAAGGCCACCUAAGGGUGUCUAUCGUCCCCCUCCUAAAUCUCCCCAGGACUUUUGAACAAGGGCCAUGUCCAGUUUAAUGUCACACAAAGAAGACUCAUCAAAGCCCAGGAGUUGGGAGUUCUUGCUCCUCACUGCCAUGGAAAGCAUGAAACAUCUGAGAUAAAAAUAAUCUGUGCCAUCCCCUGGCUCCGGAUGGACAGCAGUUGGGGCAUGAGCGCCUCCAGAAUGUCUCAGCAUUGCUGAGGGUAACCGGAUCGCCGCUCAGAUCCAGCAGGCAGCCUCAGAACCUCCCAGCUGCUGUUGUUUUUAGCACCGGGAUUAUUGGUAGGGGUGUAAAUAGACAUCUGUGUUCUGGGUGGCUCGCUCACCCCACAUUCCUAGGCACACUUGUUUUAUUAAAGCUCUCAGCUGUCGGGUGAUCCAGGCGUGGAGAAAUGAAAGGCCGCCCUCACCAGCUGGUGGUGGACUGCAAACUGCAACCAGUUUUCCCCCAUAAGGACAUGUUACUCCUAUUAGAAACUGUGUCCCUCACAUGUCCUUAAGAAGCGGGCCAUCUGCCAAUCAUAAAUCGAGAUCUCAGCCGUUCCAAAUAAAGAAAGAGUCUACCCUCCUUGCUGGCAGUCCUUUUAUAGUUGACAGAUUUUUUUUUUUAAUCUUGUGCUUGGCCAUGUAUUUCUUGUGUAAUUAAAAAAUUAUAAAAGGUAAUAAAAAAUACAAAUCC